CCCCCUCUCCCUCUCUCUCUCUCUCUCUCUCCCUCUCCCCUCUCUCUCUCCCUCUCUCUCUCUCCCUCUCCCUCUCAGAAUGAGCUGGAGCCCAUACCUAAGAUGGAUGGAGGAGUCAAAGACUACAUCCCAAAUGGCACCCUAUUUCCCACAUAGUGCACUACUUUUGAACAGUAGUAUAUAGGGAAUAGGGUGCCAUUUGGGACACGUACCAAGUGACGAUUGGGAGUGGACAGCUCCCAUGUUUCUAAUUUGUAGCUCGAUCCCCAACCUGCCCACCACCCCCCACCCCAACACGAUGUACAAAAGAAGUGAUUUGUUUACUACACAGCACAGCCACCUCAACCACAACUACACAACAACAUGUUUUGGUAGCGACGCCGUGGUUCAGGGGCCUGCUGUGGCCGGCAACAGACAUGACCUCUUGAUACUAACCCCUGACCUUUAACCUCCAACCCGUUGUCCAUGUUAACUUUAACUCCACAUGCCCCCCUGGACACCUAAAUACAAUUCAGUGUGUGUUCCCUGGCUUUCUACAGGCUUCUCUGCUUCCUCGCUGAACACACACCUUCUUAUUCUUCCAUUGACAUUGGAGGGGGUCUUUUAGUUCAAGCUACAGAGAUACAAAGUGAACUGGAAGCGCAACGUGUAGAGAAGAGCAGUUUUUAAAGUGGAAGGAAGCUCCGAGAGUUUAGCUCCACACUAGUUUAAAUGUCCCCAAUUAUAUGACAUCACUUCUUGUUUUCACUCCCUAACUUUCACCAUGACCCACAGAAAGUCAUUAAUUCUAAACUGCAAGUUAACUGCAGAGGCUGACCUGUAAAUGUGGCCCAUUAGUGGUCAGAGUUUGUGUGUGAUGUCAUCCGUUUUUUACCCUUUCCAUGGAAGACGCAGCCAAGCACUCAUUCGCCUGCCAUGUGGGGUUGUUGCUACGGCGUCACCAAGGUGUUACCAUGUCAUUACCAUGACGUUCAUAUGAGUCAGGCAGACAAGCAGUCCCUUACCAUCAGCGUCUUGCCCACCCCCCCACACACACCUCCCAUUCACCUGAACUUCCCAAAGACACAUUAUACAUUUCUGUUUUUUAGUUUGUUUGUUUCCCCCUCAUUUUUUUUAAGCAUACUUAUACAUUACAUAUAAUUAUAUUUACAUACAUUACUCUUUGCUCUUUUUGGAAAUCAUAAACUUAAAAAAGUUUAGAAAAAUAAAAUAGUUUUAUGGUGCCCUUUCUCUUGGUCUCGUCCGCCCAGCAAGGCUUGUCCCAGGGGAAAGCUAUAUCUCGCUCCGCCCCUAAAACUCCAGGCGCAGUGGUUUAGGCCGUUGUUAUGGUGCUUGGCCAAAACAUCUUCCAUCCACUCUCCCCUUUUGAGCCUUGAUAGAAGGGAUCCUGACAAUGUCCUCUCUUUUUGUAUUUUUGUUGAUUUCGUUUAUCUUGUUUUUUUGUGUUCUUUCUUCAUCCAUGUUGUCAUCCUUCUAGUUUUGGUUUUAUUUACUAGAAUAGAAUAGAAAAAACAAACAGGUCAAUGUUAAUGGAAACUUUUUUUUCAUAUACUGUAUACUUUUAUAUUUAAUAUUUUUUCAACAGCAUACUUUUUCAUAUAUUAAAUUCCAAACAGGAGCACCUAAGACAUUUAAUAUAUUUUCAAAUUAUAGGUACAGGUGUAAAG
ensembl:lncRNA